AGCAGUAGCCGCGGGAAUACCAGCACCUCGAGUGGUCAGGAGGUUUAUUGGGUCUAAAGCAUCCGUAGCCGGUUGCAUAAGUUUUCGGUUAAAUCUAUGCGCUUAACGUAUAGGCCGCCGAAAAUACUGUGCAGCUAGGGAGUGGGAGAGGUACACGGUACUCGAUAGGAAGGGGUAAAAUCCUUUGAUCUAUUGAUGACCACCUGUGGCGAAGGCGGUGUACCAGAACACGUUCGACGGUGAGGGAUGAAAGCUGGGGGAGCAAACCGGAUUAGAUACCCCGGUAGUCCCUGUCUCUUAUAC
rnacentral:rRNA from 1 species